rnacentral:tRNA from 1 species
GAAAAUGGGGCUUAGUGGUAGAGUGCUUGCCUAGAAUGCAUGAAACCCUAGGUUUGAUUCCUCAGUAUCA